rnacentral:rRNA from 1 species
GACGAACGCUGGCGGCGUGCUUAACACAUGCAAGUCGAGCGGUAAGGCCCCUUCGGGGUUACACGAGCGGCGAACGGGUGAGUAACACGUGAGCAAUCUUCCCAUCACAUCGGGAUAACUCCGGGAAACCGAAGCUAAUACCGAAUACGACCACCUCCGGCAUCGGAUGGUGGUGGAAAGUUCCGGCGGUGAUGGAUGAGCUCGCGGCCUAUCAGCUUGUUGGUGGGGUAACGGCCCACCAAGGCUUCGACGGGUAGCCGGCCUGAGAGGGUGACCGGCCACACUGGGACUGAGACACGGCCCAGACUCCUACGGGAGGCAGCAGUGGGGAAUAUUGGACAAUGGGCGAAAGCCUGAUCCAGCAACGCCGCGUGAGGGAUGACGGCCUUCGGGUUGUAAACCUCUUUCAGCAGGGACGAAGCGCAAGUGACGGUACCUGCAGAAGAAGCACCGGCCAACUACGUG